GCGUGAGGAGAAGAAGGAGAGUGGUUGAAGAAAAGAAGAAGAAGAGGGAAAAGAAGAGAGGAGGAAGAAGAGAGGAAUAAGAGGGAGAAGAGAAGAAGAUGAAGAAGAAGAAGAAGAGGAGGUGGCUGCAGCGAGGGCUGCAGCGAGAAGCUGUGGGGCGUGGGGAGAAGAAGAGAGGAAGAAGAGGGAGAAGAGAAGAAGAAGAAGAAGAAGCAGAAGAAGAAGAAGAAGACAGGAUGAUAGUUGCGGCAAGGCUGCAGCGAGGAGGUGUGUGGGGUUGGGGAGGAAAAGGGAAGAGGAGAAGAAAAGAAGGAGAAGAAGAGGGAAAAGAGAGGGAAGAGGGAGAGGAGCGAGAGGUGGCAGCAGCUAGGGUUGCAGCACCUCUGUUUCCUGCAGGUGGAAAGAGAGGAGAGGUGGGGCGUUCGAAGAGGAGAAGAAGAAGAAGAAGGAAGAGAAGAGGAAGAGGAAGCAGGAGAAGAGGUUGUGAUACCUCUGUUUCCUGCAGAGGAAACAGAGGAGAGGGUGUGUGUGACAUCGGGGAGAAGAAGGGGAGGAAGGAGAAGAAGAGAAGAAGCAGAAAGGAAGGAGAGGAAGAAGAGAAGGGAAAGGAGGAGCUGCGGCUGCGGCGGUGGCAGCUGCAGCUGGAAGAGAAGGAGAGGAAGAGAUGGUGAGGAAGAAGAGAAGAAGUAGAAGUGGGUGAAGAGGCGGCACCUCUGUUUCCUGCAGGAGGAAACAGAGGAAAGGAGGUGCUGUUCGUCGGGGAGAAGAAGGGGGCUGCAGCUGCGGCGAUGGCAGCUGCAGCUGGAAGAGAAGAAGAAGAGGAAGAUGAGCAGGGGAGGAGGGAGAGGUUGCGGCCGUGGCUGCGGCCGUGACUGCAGCAGUUGCAGCGGGGAGAGAAGAAGAAGAAAGGAAGGAGAAGGAAGAGGAGAAGGGAAAGAAGUAGCUGCGGCUGCGGUUGUGGCAGCUGCAGCUGUGGCAGGGAAAGAGGAAGAGAAAAAGGAAAGGAAGAAGAAGAGAAAGGGAAGGAGAGGAAGAAGAGAGGAAGAGGAGAAGGGGCUGCGGCUGCGGCGAUGGCAGCUGCAACUGUGGCUAGGAAAGAAGAGAAGGAAAGGAAGAAGAAGAGAAAGGGAAGGAGAGGAAGAAUGAGAGGAAGAGGAGAAGGGGUGGCAGCUGCGGCAGUGGCAGCUGCAGCUGGAAGAGGAGGAGGAAAUAGAGCAGGGGAGGAAGAAGAGGCUGCGAGUGUGGUGGCUGCGGCCGUGGCUGCGACUCCGGCUGCGGCUGCGACGUUGGCUGCGGUAGCUGCGGCAGCGGUGGUGGCUGCAGUAGCUGCUUUUGGGAAAGAGAAAGAGUAGGAACGAGAGAAGGGAAGAAGGAAAUAGUGCAGUGGAAGGGGGCUGCGGUUGUGACCGCAGUUGCGAUUGUGGCAGUGGCAGCGGCAGCGGCGGCGGCUGUGGCAGCUGCGUUUGGAAAAGAAAAAGAAGGAAUGAGAGUAAGAGAGAGCAGGUGACUGUGCCUCGAUGUUCGACACGUGAUGUAGUUACGAAGAAAGGAAGAAAACGGGAGCACAAAACGAAACAGAGAGAGGACACGGAGGAAAAGUAGAAAGAUUGGACUGGCACCUUCCUUGGAUAUUCAGAUCAAAAUAUUUGAAAGGUCAGCUUGUUACUCUUCGAGAUGUUUGAUUUGGGCUGAGGCAGUGGAUAGCUAUUCAGAAUGAUGGGCAAGUCUGGUUGGUUAUUACGAUAUUGUUGUAUAAGUAUGUUUUGUAUGUAAUGAAAUGUUGUCGAUGAACCGAAAUGGAUAUACUGUGUCAAAGUGUUAGGAGAUCUCUCUUAUUUGGAAUUUCUGAAUGUUAAGCCUAAUUUAUAAUGAUAUGAACUUGUGGUGAA